GGAGGGUGCAAAAAUAAUGGCUUCUGCAGCCUACAUAGUAGACUAGUUCUACAAGAGCCGUGGUGUUUCGGAUGCACCCCAGUAUUUCUCGCCACGCUUUCUCUCUCUUCCAACACGGCAUGGCGAAAACGGUUCAGGUGAUUGGCUGAAAAAAAAUACAGAGAUUUUCUGUGGAAAACAAGUGCGAGGUGUCAUGGGAAGAACAGAAGAAACCGCAGAUAAACACACACCCACCUAAAACACGCCACAUCCUGUGAAAUCCUGAGCUGAGGAUCUCCAGGCGAGAAGAGGAGAAGGAGGAGGAGGAGAUGGAAGGAGGAGGAGGAGGAUGGGAGGAGCAUGGGUGGGACUUCCAUUGCGCUGAUGCAAUCCUGCCGUCCGAGAAGAAAUUGCCCAGCUGGCAUGAGCAGAGCCGGGGGAGGGCGAUUCUCACUCGAAUCUCUGCACCGUUCACACGCUCAGUUGCUGGCACAUGCUCUCACACACACACACACACACACACACAAGCGUGUCAUUUUCACAUAAAUGUGCUGUUGUGACAAGACCAGAGCUAGCAUAUGCCAGGAGCAGGCUACUCACCAGCUAUAAACACGACAUUGAAUUACAUUGUCUGACUCGUUCAGCUGUUUAUAAACACACACCUAAACUCAUAAACCUUUUACACACACUUACACACAUGCUGUCCAGAUGUGUCUCUGCACAUCUGGCUUGGGAAGGUAUUAGCUUGUUUGUAAAGCAGAUGCCCUGGUCUGGAUUUAUUGUGUGUCCUGAAGUGAAAAACAAAGCAGUAAGGCAGAAAGAGCUGAUGUGCUGAGUGAUUUUAGUGCUGAGAAUCGAGGCAGUCGAGGGGCAAAUGAAAGGUUUUUGACUCCUGAGUAAGAUUUUAACCUUUGAAAAUGAAUGUGAAGACAUAAGAAUUAGGGAUCGUUUAAUAGACUACUGAAAUAUCCUGUGAGAGAAUGAUACAUAUAUACUAUGCUACCGAUGGCAGGGUUGCCAGGUUCAAGAUUUUCCUGCAUAAUUAUACUACUUGCUUGCUGGAUUGUGUGUGUGUGUGUGUGUGUGUGUGUGUGUGAGAGAAAGAGAUACAGAGAGAGAGA